CCAGAUAGCCUCUACCUGUCAUGUCCAGAUAGCCUCUACCUGUCAGUCAUGUCCAGAUAGCCUCUACCUGUCAUGUCCAGAUAGCCUCUACCUGUCAUGUCCAGAUAGCCUCUACCUGUCAUGUCCAGAUAGCCUCUACCUGUCAUGUCCAGAUAGCCUCUACCUGUCAUGUCCAGAUAGCCUCUACCUGUCAUGUCCAGAUAGCCUCUACCUGUCAUGUCCAGAUAGCCUCUACCUGUCAUGUCCAGAUAGCCUCUACCUGUCGUCAUGUCCAGAUAGCCUCUACCUGUCAUGUCCAG
rnacentral:lncRNA from 1 species